AGGUUGUACUACAGAAGCUUUUGAUGAUACAGCAUUAUAAUUGAUUUUUAUGUUCAGAUUACAACAACCAUUGUUGCCAUGUGAGUUCUUUUCUUUAAAUAUUGAUUGAAAUAACUGAAUAUUUCAGAGUUGCAUGACAUGUAUUGAUUGAUGGCAAACUAUCUACUAAAAAGAUGUCCUCCUUCCUUGUUGUUUAUAACCAAAGAUACUGAUACAUUAGGUUUAAAUAGACACAUUUCUAAAGAAAAGAUGAGAUGACAGAAUUAGUUUAUUAUUGAAUGGCAGGAAGUUUAUGAAUGAAUAACAGGAAGAUUAUAAAUGCAUGGCAGGAAAUGAUAACUGGAUAAAAUAAACACAAUACAAUUAUUAAGCUAAAACUAUUGCUUCAAUUCUCAGGAAAGAACCAGAAAAAUGUGACUGUUUCCUAUUCUGUUGUUUUGAAACCAACAGAAAUUCAAACAUCUUGAAACAAUUAUAUACAAAAAAAACAUGUAUAGUGCCAUUCUUAGCACAUAUUUCAAUACUAGUCUUAAUGAUAUUAAAUAAAGAUUUUUGUUGGAAGAAUCUGUUCAAACAAGACAAACUACCUAUCAUUAUAAAAUCAUUAAUUUUCUGAAAACCUUGUUUGUGUUUUUCUCAGUAAAUGUAUUUUGUUUGACCUGUUUUAUAAUGUUGAUUCAUUGUAGGUCAUUUACAUGAAAAUACUCCAGAAACCUGUCCUGUCAUGAAUAUAGAUAAUUUGAAUAAACUUUGUACGGUGUAAAGUUUUGUCAGAUUGACAGGUAAAUUAAACUUGUAUGAGUUCAUAUCUUUUGUAUAUCUACACAAUUGCAUUAUCUAAAGAUAGAAACAUUAAAUGACACAGGAGUGUUUUUUCCAAGGGAAAUUCUUUGGUCAUAAAUUAAAUUCCAGAAAGUACUAGAAUUCUUACAUUUUAGUAUCAAUUAAUUGACCAAUUAACAAACUAUUACAAAACAAAUUUUUAUCUACAAAAUGUAAGAUACAUGUCUGUUUCAUACUAUAUAUUUUAUAUGAAAAAAGUAUAUUUCAUGAAAUGAAGUGACUGGUAUAGGGUGAAUAGGCUGCUUAAAACUAAAACUUAAGCAAUAAAAACCUAUUUUUUAGAGAAACAAUACAAACCGACUUUUAAACAAAAACUUUUGAAAAAUAAAUCUUUUGUCAAUAACUUGAAUAAGUUGUACAUGUUGUAUAUUUAUAGAUUAUCAGUGAUCAUCUCAACGAGAUUGAUUUUCUCGCUUGAGCCGGGACGGCGAAAGCGAGAAAGGCAAUCGAGAUGAGAUGAACAAUGAUAAUCUUUUUAUCUAUAUUUUACCUGUGACGACGUUGUCAAUUUCAUGUCAGUUUCGUUAGCAACGCCACGUGCAUGCUUAGUUUCUAUCGAUAAUUUUCCAUCUCAAGCGAGAAGCAUGAUAUGAAAAUUAUCACAAAAAAAGAUCAAAGGAAAAAUGCACAAAAAAGCGAUAAAUAUUAUUUCUGAUUGGUGAAGGAUCACUGUAUGAUCAAAAUGCACAAUGGAAUUGUACAAUUCAUUAGUUAAGGAUGUCUGGCAACUGAAAUGUCAUCAAAAGAUACCAAUUUAAUAAAACAUGCUCUAUUUGACAACACAGUCUCAUGUCACAUCAGAGGUAUUUAAACCUCAACCAAUUUAAAUCUGAUGCAGUAAUGAUGAAUUUGUAUGGCCCACCUAUGAUAGUAGAGGGGCAUUAUGUUUUCUGGUCUGUGUGUCUGUUCUUUCAUCCGUCUGUUCGUUCGUCUGUUCAUUUGUCUGUCUGUCAUGCUUCAGGUUAUAGUUUUUUGUGUCAAGGUAGUUUUUGAUGAAGCUGAAGUCCAACUUGAAACUUAAUAAACAUGUCCCCUAUGAUAUGAUCUCUAAUUUUAAUGCCAAAUUAUAGUUUUUACCCAAUGUCACGGUCCACUGAACAUAGAAAAUGAUAUUGCGAGUGGGGCAUCCCUGUACUAUGGACACAUUCUUGAUUAUCUUUCAUUUUUGUUUUGUACUGACUUUAAAAGGAACCUGAGUAGAACAUGAGACACUUAUCCAUAGUUAUAAAACAAAUGAAGUUUAAAAUAAUUUCACAUAUUACUAGGACAUUUAAUGAAGUACAAAGAAUUUACACAAUUGAGGACAACCUCAUGUCUUGAUUUAAGGCACAAGUGUUUCGACCAAAUAGAGCUAUGUUGCUAUCAAGUAACUGUGGUUUUGCUUAAAUAUGAGAGGUCUUCUGUUGUUUUUUUCAAAACUGUUUUCAUUUCAUACUUAAGUCUAUUGUAGAUAUGAUAAAAAUUUAUAAAAUACUUUUUCAGAUUGAACUACAACAGCUUUUAAUGAGACAGAAAUUGAUUUUUAUGCUGACAGAUUACUACAGGAUAGUUGCCAUGUGAGUUCUUUUCUUUAAAUAUUGAUUGAAACAACUGAAUAUUUCAGAGUUGCAUGACAUGUAUUGAUUGAUGGCAAACUAUCUACUAAAAAGAUGUCCUUCUUCCUUGUUGUUUAUAACCAAAGAUACUAUUACAUUGGUUUAAAUAGACAAAUUUCUAAAGAAAAGAUGAGAUGACAGAAUUAGUUUGUUAUUGAAUGGCAGGAAGUUUAUGAAUGAAUAACAGGAAGAUUAUAAAUGCAUGGCAGGAAAUGAUAACUGGAUAAAAUUUAUAAACACAAUACAAUUACUAAACUAAAACUGUUGCUUCAAUUCUCAGGAAAGAACCAGAAAAAUGUGACUGUUUUCCAUUCUGUUGUUUUGAAACCAACAGAAAUUCAAACAUCUUGAAACAAUUAUAUACAAAUAAAAGAUAUGACUCUUCAUAUUGGAAAAAUGUCAGUAAAAAUGGCCCCUCAUAUUGGGUAUAUGUUAAUGAUAUGGAAGCAACUUAACAAUAAAAGGCAGCCAUUUUGUUUUUUAAAACAAUAUCAUAAAGACUUGUCUAACAAAGAUCAUGAACUUUCUAGAUACUUUUCUUGUUAUAGAUUAAUGGGUUUAUCAUGUUUCUUAUUAUAGAUUGGUAGGUAAAUCAUGUCUUAUUAUAGAAUGAAUGGCUUAAAAUUUAUCAUGUUUUUUAUUAUAGAAUUCUGGUUUAUUGUAGAUUGAUGGGUUUGUCAUGUUUACCUAUUUCUAUGGAAUCUUGAUCACUACAUCUAUUCUGUUUUGUUCUUAUAAAAGUCACUAAAUUACCAGUGACUACGUUGAGAAUUGAACUUGAGACCUUAAGCAUAUGAAGCCAUGUGGUAUACCCUACACCAGGACGACUGGGUACAAACUCACUGUUAAUUUAACAUAUUUAAACAUUGUUAAAAGUUAUCUCUUUCAGACUUUGUGUGUCAGUGUAAGAUAACCAUUGGGCCACCAGGGUGGUCUUAAACUGACACACUGUGUCCUCAUGGGAUAACUUUUACUUGAUAUCACUACACAGUUUUUUUAAGCAAAUAAAAAGUGACAUCAUAAAUAAAAUAUAUAUGUAAAAAUAAGAAGGUAUGAUUGCCAAUGAGACAACUCUUUACAAGAGUUUAAUUGACAUAGUUAACUAAAGACUAUAAAUCGCCAUACAGACUUCAACAAUGAGUAAAAACCAAAACCCAUAUUCAGCUAUUACAGGCCCAGAAAUGAAAAAUGUAUAACAAAUCAAACAAGAAAACUUAUGUUAAUGAAAAGGUUCAUGAAAUAUUUUAUCAUGGUCUUACUUUUCGUAAAUAGUUUUCUUUCAAACAAUUCUAUUUCUUACUAUUUUAUAAGGUGUUAUGUAUAUAUGCAUGCAUGAGAUAAAUGACAUUUUAUAAUAUUUUGUUUUAUCGCUAUUUUAUGCAUAUUUCCUUUAAUCUUUUUUUUGUGAUAAUUUUUCAUAUCAUGCUACUCGCUUGAGAUGGAAAAAUUAUCGCUAGAAAUAAGUAGACACGUGGCGUUGCUAACGAAAUUGACAUGAAAUUGACCAACGUCCUCAUAGGUAAAAUAGCGAUAAACAGAUUAUCAUUGGUCAUCUCAACUUGAUUGCCUUUCUCGCUUUCGCCGUCCCGGUGAUCAACGAUAAUCUAUAAUUCUUUCUUGCAAAUUGAUAUAGAUAAGAAAUUUAUCAUGAAAUAAGGAGAUGUGUUAUAAUUAUCAAUAUUGAAGAAUCUAUCCACCAAAAACAAAAUGACUAAUGUAAAACAAUUAAAAUAAAGAGAAAACUAAUAGCCCAUUUAUCAUGCUUAUGUCUAUUGUAAAUAUGAUAAAGCCUAUUGAUUUUUUUUCAGGUUUUCUACAGAAGCUUUUGAUUUGACAGCAUUAGAAAUUGAUUUUUAUGUUCAAAUUACAACACCAUGGUUGCCAUGUGAGUUCUUUUCAUGAAAUAUUGAUGGAAUAACUGAAUAUUUCAGAGUUACAUGACCAGUAUUGAUUGAUGAUAAAUAGCCCAUUUUUAUAUUACCGACUUUUUACUCCAUGUUCUAUAAUUUUUCGACAGGUUACCUACUCUGUGGUAGGACAUCCUGGUACUCAGUCAAUUAUGAGCAAGCAAAAUAAGUCAAAUCAAGUAUAUAACUUUCUCCCAUAAAAUUAUGCUGAUUAAAAUCUUGAAUUUACUUAAUAAUCUUGUUUGACUGAGUACCACGAUGUCCUACCACAGAGAAGGUAAUCACUUGAAAAAUAUAAAUUCUGGAGUCAAAUGUUGCUUAUAUGAAAAUGGUCUAUUAUCUGCACUAUAAAAAUAGAAAUAAGGAGAUGUGUUAUGAUUAUAAACAUUGAGACAACUAUCCACCAGAAAAACCAAACGAUGUAGAUGUCAGCAACUAUAGGUCAUUGUACAGCUUAUGCUUUAUAUUAAUGUGACAUAUUCUAAUGACACACCAACAGCUAGAUUUAUAACAUAAUAGUCAUGCAAUAACGUAUAUGACAGAAAGUAAGCAACCAGAGCCAUCGAAUAACCCCAUCCUGACUUACGACAUGCACAUUUAGCAUGUGGAGGGGUGACAAGAUAAGCUGUUACAAGAUUUGUUAUCAAAUUUUGUUAAUUAUGCUAAUAUUUUGAGUUUUAGGUCCAUUUAUCAAUAUUUUUCAAUGCUUUUUAUUAAUGCUACAGGGCCAAGUGAGCUUUUAUCAUCACUUGGGGUGCAUAGUCAUCUGUUAACUUUUAAAAAAUUCUUCUCGUCUAAACUACUGAUCCAAAUUUAAUCAAACUUGUACAAUCAUCCUUAGUAUCUAGUUUAGAAAAUGUGUCCACUGAACCAACUUGUCAGCCAAGAUUGCAGACAUGGCUAAAAAUAGAACAUAGUGAUAAAAUGCAAGUUUUCCUAUUAUUUUAGAACAGUUGAGCAUGUUGAGUUCUACCAUUAUCUUUAUAUAAGGGAGAUAAAUCUUUGUUUUUUCUACAAAAUAAUUAGAGGCUUCUAUAUGAAAUAUUUGCCCAUCAUUUUUGGACUAAGUAUACAUAAAAAAGAAAGCAUAAUAAAAGUAAAAGCACCAUCUCUUUAUAUAUUUCUCUAUAUUGUUUCUUUUUUCAAUAUGGUUUUUAUUACUCUAUCAUUUCAAUUGUAAAACAUCACAGAAAUGUUUGGAAAAAUAAUAUUAAUUUUGACUUCACGAUAUUAGCAAAGUCAAACUUUUUGAUCCUAAAUUAUUUUAUUAACCUGCAGUCAAUUUGAAGAAAAGGGAAACAAUGAAAUACAGAUCUUGAUAGCACUACAAAUCAGUUCUUGAAUAUUGUUUAAUAUAUUAUUUCUUGAAUAUCAGCCAUUUUGUAGAAAGCUUCUUUUUAUCUUAUUCCUUGCACUUUUUAUGCCCCACCUAGGGGCAUUAUUGUUUUGGUCUGUACCUCUGUUCGUCUGUCUGUCAGGCUUCAGGUUUAAGUUUUUGGUCAAGGCAGUUAACCUUGUAUAGCAUUUAUAAAAUUACAAAAAGAAGCAUUCAAUUCUUAUAUUUACAUAUUUAUGCUAUACAACUAAAUAAAAUAAUGAGUUAUGGCAAUUUUUUUGUCUGUUUAACUACUAGUAUUCAUUUUGUUGUCAUCUUACUGUGAAAACAUGUGAUGUCAUGACAGUUAAAUUUUGCAGAGAAACACAAUUUGAUAUUGGAACGCCUCCUGAAUGCUUCCAGCCAAUCAAAAGAGUGGAUUUUUGAAAAAUAUACAUGUAAUGUAGUUAUAAUUGUACAAAUUAUGUGUCUAGCUAUUUAUCCUACCUGAGGAAAACAAUUAUACUGUACAUAUGUAAAAUAGACCAUAUAUUAUAAAAAUGUAAUAGUAAAUAUGACAACAAAUUAGUAGUACAUACAAUGUACUAUGUAUGACCUUUUAUAAGUGUUAUUAUUAUUUUUAUUUCAGUAAAGGAAGAGGAAACCAUAAUGUAAAAAGAUUUAUUAUCAAAUUUCGUAAGUAUAAAGUUUUUUUUCAACAAAAGUUUAGUAAACAAAUAUUUUAAUUCUUAUUAAGAAGGGAUAUAGUUACGAUACUGUUGUCAGGUCAUUAAAGAUUGCAUAUUUUGGCGUUAAUAUUGAUUCACUUAUAGGGUCUUUGCAUCGGAACUAAACACAUUAUUCAAAAACCAGUUGUUGGCAUGACACAGGUUAUGUUCUUCUCAUAUAUAUGAUGGUAUGAUACUAAACCCCUAACGGGAAGGAUUGUGCCUGAUGUUCAUAUGAUGAAAUCAUCAUCUUUCAGUCAGUUUAAUUGAAGUCUGGAGCUGGCAUGUCAGUUAACUGCUAGUAGUUGUCUUUGGUAUUUAUGUAUUAUUGUCAUUUUGUUUAUUUUCUUGUACAUCUUCUGACAUCAGACUCGACUUCUCUUGAACUGAAUUUUAAAUGUGCGUAUUGUUAUGCGUUUACUUUUCUACAUUGGCUAGAGGUAUAGGGGGAGGGUUGAGAUCUCACAAACAUGUUUAACCCUGCCACAUUUUUGCGCCUGUCCCAAGUCAGGAGCCUCUGGCCUUUGUUAGUCUUGUAUUAUUUUAAUUUUAGUUUCUUGUGUACAAUUGGAAAUUAGUAUGGCGUUCAUUAUCAUGAAUAGUAUAUAUGUUUAGGGGCCAGUUGAAGGACGCCUCCGGGUGUGGGAAUUUCUCGCUACAUUAAAGACCUGUUGGUGACCUUCUGCUGAUGUUUUUUUCUAUGGUCGGGUUGUUGUCUCUUUGGCACAUUCCCCAUUUCCAUUCUCAAUUUUCUUUUUUUUUAUUAUGAUAAACUUCCAAGUUGAUUGUAUAGUUUUUUUCCGUAAAACCCUAGAAUUUAGUAAAUGUUAUGUAAAGAAAAUGCAUAAUAUAACUAUAAGAGGCAUUACUGGUUGGUUAUUUUAUUCAGUUUUGAUUUUCUUUUUAUUAACAUUUACUAUACAGUCAAACCAGCAUUAAACAAUCACUUAUAGGAACUAUCAAAAGUGACCACUCAAGACAGAUAACCUUUUGUACUAAGUUCCUGAAAAAUAAAAUCUAAUUCAGACAUUGCACAUGGUGGUUAUGGGGUCAAACUGUUUUAACAUUUUCAUUUGGUAGCGUUAUUAGAUAACAAGCAGACAAAUAAUAACUGACAUCUUUCAGUGUUCUGAAUUUGAAGAAAAGUUAAUAUUCUUAGAGAAAUAUGCGUCAGAUUAUGUUUUAAUAGAAACCAAAAGGAGUGGAACAAAGUGUAUUCACAAAAUUCACACCUGUAUAUGCAAUCUCAGUUUCAAAUGGGUUGCAACUCUUAUUUUGACUGAACACAUAUUUUUCGUCAUGAUCAUAUUUUGUUUGAAGUUACAAUUUUUUGCAAAAAUCAGGCGACAGCUGAAAAGAGUUCAAUUAUACAGAGAAAAUGUCAAAGUGGCCUUAACAUGCAGGUGACCACUAAAAUGAUGUGCCUGUUAAGACAUUCUAGUGAAUAAUCAACAGUGAUUAAUAUUGUGAAAUCCGUAAAAAUAUUAUUCUGUAGAUGGAUUUCUUUCUUAUAUAAGGGAGAUAAAUCUCAUAUUUUUGUGUUGAAUAUUGAAAAUAGAUUUAAGAUUCUUAAAACGGUUAAUAUAUUCAGAACACAUUCUUUUAACUAUUCUGAACAUAAAAAUAAAAUGUAAAAUACUUGUUUUUAUGGAAAUACCAUUUGAUUGAAAGAUUUUCAUUGCUGUGUUUCAGAUAGUGAAUUUAUACAUUUGCAUUAACCUGAAGGAAAAGGUGUUUUUUUUUAUCUCACAAUAGAAGUAAAGUAGACUAACUUUUUCUAACACUUUCUUUUCUAGAUAGCUUUAGACCUUUAUAUAUUCCCCUGUAAAGAGGUCCAAGAGGAAUAUAGUAAUGGUACUGGUCAAGUGAAUUUAAACAAUCAGCUGGAAACAGAAGAAAUAAUGAGCUACAGUCUAUUGUAAGUUUUCAAUGUAAUAUAGAUUAAACCUCUUUGGUAAACUUCAUCAUCCUCAGAAUAUCUUUAAAUGUGUUAAAAUGGUAAGCUCACAAUUUAAAAGUGGUAAAAUGGUAAGCUCACAAUAAGUUGCUUUCAUAAAAAUGUUUUUUUUAAAUGUGCACACCCAAAGGGUAACUGGGGAUUGGUAAUAUGGUAAGCUUGGUCUUUCUCCUUACAGUACACACAGAGAGUUUGUAAUCCCAAACUCCAUACACCGCAAUUAUUUCUGGUGUGACACCAGGAAACUUCGACAUUCCUCCUUAAAUUCUCAGAGAAAUUUGGGAGUAUUCCCCCCGACUUCUGCUUAAAUUCGCUACCUUUUGUUUAUUGUAUUAGCGACAUCUCUCCCAGUCCGGUGUGACGCGGUGUCUCACCAGGUAAUUAAUUGCCCUAAUCCUUCUGAUCUAUGCUGACACACGACAGUCAAGAUAUGUGAGAUUUCUAAUGUAAUUAAACAAUUGUAUUUCCUGUCUAUUGAUAUCAGGUUAUAUAUCUGAUUGCUUGAAACAAAUAAAAGAUUAAAAAGCAAAAUGUUAUUGUUAAUUCUUUCAAUUACACUGUACAUUUAAAAUCAGUUUUAUUAAAAACAACUAUAUUUGAUUUUGACCUUGAUUUUUUUGUCAGUAAAUAAAUAUUUAAUUUACUAAAGAAUAUAAUUGUGUAAAAAUAAACGAAGACGUACGCUGAAUAAAUGUGGACAGUUUAAAGAAAAUUACAUGUCUCAAAGUUGUUUUGUAUACAAGUAAAAAAGAAAAUAUUGUUCACUAUUUGUAAUGCUUAUAAGUCUACGACUUUUUCAUUUUACAAUUACAUAAUUGCUUGAAACAAAUAAAAGAUUUAAAAGCAAAAUUUUGUUGUUAAUUCAUUCAAUUGCAUUAAAGUUUUAUGAAAAAUACUAUACAUGAUUUUGACCUCCUUUUUUUGCAUCGGUAAAUUAUAUUACUUACGAAAAGAGACAUACUUGCGUAAAAAUAAACGGAAACUAACGCUGAAUAUAAAAUGUGAGCAGUUUAAAGAAAAUUACGUGUCUCAAAACUUGUAUAUGCAAGUAAAAAAGAAAAUACUAUUCACCAUUCGUCUACGACAUUUUCUCUUUAUGAUUUGUUAGCAUAACUGAGGAUAAAUAUUACAACAGUAAUACUUCUAUAGCUGCAUCAACUCGUCAUUGCAUAAUAUUCAUUUACGGACAAUGAAUGUAAACUUGUGUGUUGUAUUUAGGACAGUGAUCUUUAAACCUUUUAAAGGAAUUAAUUACCAUGGGAAGACGAAACCCAUCUCAGUGAUCAACAGUGUGUGGUUGAACUUUGAACUUGACUUCGCUUACAAUAUUGAAUGCUAAAAAUAGUGACAUCAAUUUUGUCCACGAGAUUUUUAUUUGGCGGGAAAUAUUAUCACGUAACAGUAAACUCAGGUGACCUUUCUGGAUGAUCGUGGGAAAAUUCAUUCAGGGUUUAAAUUUGCUUUGUAAUGAUUGACAUUUGUGUGCGUUAAGAUUGAGGCUCUAGAAGGUCCUUUUACAAUUGACUAACCAGAAUCUUAAAUAUAAUCCUUUUCUGAAUAAAUGAACACCAGCCUUUUAUUUUUACAUUUCUCAGUCAACACAGAAUGUAAACCUGGACAUUAUUUAUACGUCCAUGGUCAACAAUAUACAUUAAUGGUAGAUGAAAAGACGAUGCAUGUCAUUCAUUUCCUGUUUGGCCUUGGUAGAGAUCCUUUAUGAAAAUGUUCAGAUCGUUAAAAUCUGAUCCACAUUUUUUUUCACGUAUUUCUUUCACGAUAUAAUUUCAUUUUAAUAUUCUAUAGUAAUUGUUGAAAUACUUCUUUUUUUUAUUUCGUUAAAGACAUUUAACACUGUAUAAUACAGAUUGUGCCCAUCCAAUAUUAUUUUAAAUAAUAAAGGAUCAAUAACAGAUCUUAACAGAGAUAAACAACACAUGAUUUUUUUUCUUAAUAUAAUUAAUUAAGUUGUGAUUAUUGUGUUGUGUCUGGGCAGGGAAUGGCUCUCAGUGUUGUGUUUUUAUGAUUAUACUGCAACCAGCUAUUUUGCUAUACAGGUAAAGCUAUACGUAUAAACGUUAGCUUUAUAGUCAAUGACCUCAACUAACCUAUAAGCCACGCCUACUUACUGGAACUUCUGUAUUUCAUCAACAACGUCAAGGCACAACCAUGAAAAGGUGUAGUAACAAUGGUCAAACUUUUAUGAAUUUAAACUUGUUAUGUCUUCAAAUUGGUAAUUUAUAUACCAUGUUUAUUAAAUAUUAUUAAUUAAGUUCAUUUUCCCUUUUUAAUUCCUUAAAUUGUCAAUGUCUUACCGCCUAGACUACGCUCAUAGGGAAAUACCCCAAAAAUGGUACCUCAAAAGGGAAAUUCCAAACACUUUUUUUAACAAUAUUUGUUACAUAUUUUUUUUUUUUUUUUUAAUUUUUAUCGAUUCCAGUAUAAAAACAAUAUACGUAUAGUGUCUUGAAAUAUGAAAUUUAUUUGUAUUUGGCACGAAACUAUACGUAUAUUGUCUAAAUAUAGGGCACAUUGCAUAUAAAAAGUUUUCCCUUUGUUCAACAGAGUUGUCACUUUACAGUUUCUUUUCUGAAUUCAAAUAAGUCAAGUCUGUUAUGUACCAGAGGUAGUGAAACAUAAUAUUUUACAUUGCAAAAUAAAUUGAAAGUAACAGAGUUAACUUGUUGAUCCGAUCAUCCGAUAAAUUAACUCUUGGGUUAAGAUUGGACAAAUAUUGUUAAUAUGGAGUGUGUAUACAUUUACCAUUUACCAUUUAUCAUAAUUAAACGAGGAAGACAGAUAAUAAUCAACAUUGUAAAGAAAAAUGUUGAUGAUAGAAAAUAGUAUCUUACAUCAACCAACAGGUAAAUAAAACUUGAAUAAAUUUGUUAAAUAUACCUUUUAAAAAAGUGUCUGCUCUUUGGCAUUGUCCCCUUUUCCAUUUUCAAUUUUAAUUGAGGUUUAAGCUGAUGCUUGACAGUUUCGAAAAGCAUAUUCGAAAUACUAAUACACAAAGCUCACUGUUAAAUACAACUGAACAAUUAAACUUAAGCAACUCAUAUAGGCAGAAGACCAACUUGUGUAAAAUGCAUUCAAAUUUUCAUGUGAUAACUCAUUUUAUGCAUAGAGAUUGCUUACAUAAACUGGAUCAAUAAUUCUUAGUGGAACAUUUGCUUUUCAGUUAAAAAAUUAUUGAAUUUAAGCACACAUUUGUGAAAAAAAACCCAUUGAAUAUCUUUGAAUGAUGACAGCAUGAUAAUGUAAAGUGUAGAAAUGUGGCUUUCUUAUAUAAGGGAGAUAAAUCUCAAAUUUUUGUGUUGAAUGUUGAAAAUAGCUUAAAGAUUUUGUCUUUGUGAAAAUAAGUUUGAAAGGAGGUAUUUGUGAAAGAUCAAUGAUUUUUUUCUAUAAAGUUGCAUUACUAUCUGUAACUAUUGAGGCCUAUCUUACUAUUUCAUGGUCCAGUGACUUUUAAUAUUUUAGCAGUGUUGCUGUCCUUCAGGUUGCCUUUUAGGAAUUUUAUGUCUAAAGACAAGACAUAUAUUUCUGGCAACAGUUUAAAGAUUAAUAAUAAUGUAUUAUUUUAUUUGAAAUUAUGUUUUUGUAGUCUUUUAUUCCAGUUUUUUACAGUUGAAUUCAUUUGCCUACAGAUUUUAACUGUAUGUUUUGAAAUGUACAAGAUGCUUUGUUUUAUUUGAUUGUGUACUUUUUUUUUAUCUCUAGUAAAAUGCUCAGCAAAUUGUUUUAGACAAAUAUUAAAAUAGUUUUUUAUCUAUAUCUAUUUCAUUUUCAGAUUUACAUAAGAGCUUGUGCCAGUCCGGAAGAUAUCCCUUAAACUUUGGAAUAAAGAAACACUAAAUUUUAGUCUGGCAUACAGACCAGGCAGGAUUUGGAAGAAUGGUUGAAUGUUACUGAGAACGUAGAUUGACAAAGGAGUAAUCUAUGAAGAUUUUACAUAUUGAAAAAAAAUCACCUUUAUUUGUUAUUCUAUUACAUUGUAUCAUACAUAAAUAAGCACAAUGUUGCUUGAAGCUUACUUCAGAUCUGACAUGACAAUUUAAUAUUAUUACUACCUUUGAGC
rnacentral:lncRNA from 1 species